rnacentral:rRNA from 1 species
GACUAAGCGUACACGGUGGAUGCCUAGGCAAUCAGAGGCGAUGAAGGACGUGCUAAUCUGCGAUAAGCGUCGGUAAGGUGAUAUGAACCGUUAUACCCGACGAUUUCCGAAUGGGGAAACCCAGUGCAAUCCGUUGCACUAUCGUUUGAUGAAUACAUAGUCAAACGAAGCGAACCGGGGGAACUGAAACAUCUCAGUACCCCGAGGAAAAGAAAUCAACCGAGAUUCCCCUAGUAGCGGCGAGCGAACGGGGAGCAGCCCAGAGUCUUAAUCAGCAUCAGCAUCAGGAGAACGGUCUGGAAAGUCCGGCAGUAAAGGGUGAUAGCCCCGUAUCCGAAGGUGUUGGUGUUGUGAACUCGACGAGUAGGGCGGGACACGUGUUAUCCUGUCUGAAUAUGGGGGGACCAUCCUCCAAGGCUAAAUACUCCUGAUUGACCGAUAGUGAACCAGUACCGUGAGGGAAAGGCGAAAAGAACCCCGGCGAGGGGAGUGAAAUAGAACCUGAAACCGUGUACGUACAAGCAGUGGGAGCACCUUCGGGUGUGACUGCGUACCUUUUGUAUAAUGGGUCAGCGACUUAUAUUCUGUAGCAAGGUUAACCGUAUAGGGGAGCCGUAGGGAAACCGAGUCUUAACUGGGCGAAUGAGUUGCAGGGUAUAGACCCGAAACCCGGUGAUCUAGCCAUGGGCAGGUUGAAGGUUGGGUAACACUAACUGGAGGACCGAACCGACUAAUGUUGAAAAAUUAGCGGAUGACUUGUGGCUGGGGGUGAAAGGCCAAUCAAACCGGGAGAUAGCUGGUUCUCCCCGAAAGCUAUUUAGGUAGCGCCUCGUGAACUCAUCUUCGGGGGUAGAGCACUGUUUCGACUAGGGGGUCAUCCCGACUUACCAACUCGAUGCAAACUACGAAUACCGAAGAAUGUUAUCACGGGAGACACACGGCGGGUGCUAACGUUCGUCGUGAAGAGGGAAACAACCCAGACCGCCAGCUAAGGUCCCAAAGUCAUGGUUAAGUGGGAAACGAAGUGGGAAGGCUCAGACAGCCAGGAUGUUGGCUUAGAAGCAGCCAUCAUUUAAAGAAAGCGUAAUAGCUCACUGGUC